UAUAGAUGUAUGACAUGGCUGUAAUAUUAACGGAGACAAGUUGAUUGCAAAACAAUGGACAGCAACAAAGAUUUGGACCUUGAUGAUCAGACAUCCAUUCAAAGAAUUCAGGCAUCAAGAAUUCUUUUUUUGAUCUAUUAUUUUGACAAUUUCUUUGUAUAAAGACUUAUAAGACAUGUUGAUUUUAUUAAAAAGUUAGAGCUGUGGUAGACAGGAGUGCAGCAACCACAAAGUGAGUUGAGAAACCCAUGUGAGGCGGCAGUAGCCCACAAGUUUGCAGGGGUAAAAAAGUUGCUCCUGGCAACUUUAGGAGGUGAAAAUCCAAUUUUUGAAUUGUAAUUUGCUCUCCAGCAAUGCAAUGCAAUACCCUACACCUGUUCCGGCUCUGGAAAUUGUUUGCACUGGUGGAAGGGGGCAGCAUCAUAAACACCUCAGAAAGUGUCCCUGGUGGUAGAACAACUAACAAUGAAAGUUGCAAGUUUCUAAAACAUUUUGUUUAGUAUGUUUGAGAAGUGUGUGUGUGUGUGUGUGUGGGCCCACAUGAAUGUAUUGUUAUGUUUUAUCUUGUCUUAAAUGUGACGGUGACUUAGAAGCAAGAGACUGGUGACUAUUCUUGACAUUAGAAAAUUAAAGUUGCCAAAACAGAUCUUAAAAGCUAAGAACUGAUGCUGCCUUUUGCUUUAUCGAUGUUUAACAUGGCUGUAACAGCUGCAUUGACGUAGACUGAGUUGUUUGUGAAACAAUGGACAGCAAACCAACAUUUGGGCCUUGACCAUCAUAAGACCGGACAUCUG